rfam:Neotoma lepida isolate 417 scaffold_319, whole genome shotgun sequence.
AGAGAGGUGGCUCAGUGGUUAAGAGCACUGACUGAUGUUCCAGAGGAACUGGGUGCAAUUCCCAGGCCAUCCUG